AAGGUGCUAAUUAAAUAUCAUAAUGAUGCUUUGUCAGGGCAUAAUUGUGGGUUGAACCCCCGCGCACCUUA
rnacentral:tRNA from 1 species